GUCAAGUCAUCAUGGCCCUUAUGUCCAGGGCUACACACGUGCUACAAUGGCCGGCACAGAGCGAAGCGAGCCCGAGAGGGCGGAGCGAAGCGCGGAAAGCCGGCCGUAGUUCGGAUUGAAGUCUGAAACCCGACUUCAUGAAGCUGGAAUCGCUAGUAAUCGCGCAUCAGCAUGGCGCGGUGAAUACGUUCCCGGGCCUU
rnacentral:rRNA from 1 species